CCAAAGCAACAGCACCACACUGACUACUCGAGAAGAGGAAGAAAAUGGAGGAGAAGGACUAUAUAAGGCAAACUACUAAAUGAAAAUAACAACAUGGAAGACGUCGGUGGGCUCCAAGACUUAACUGGUUCUUAUCUGGUCUUCUCUGGUCCACCCAAUGCUGCUCUUCUGAGAGCAACCGCUCUGACAGCUCUCUCUAGUCUCUACUGGGAAACAGCUAAAAGUCCUUCUGGAGGCUUUGCAUUUGAACUCCUAUGACUGGUUGCGGACUUAAAGGGAACGCCUUCCUGACAUCCAGGAAAAAGUUUUAUUGGACAGGCAGUAGAGAUCUACUGGAAACAGUGGAGAGGGAGGAGAUGAUAUGCAGCAUACGGCCCAGCCGGAUGGUUGCUGCUCCGUGUGGAACGUGUCCUAUCAGGUGUAACAUCUACCAAUGGUUGUACAUGACAGAGACCUCCUCCGCCUCUUUGCUGUCUUACUAGUCAAUCCUUCUGAUCAGGUCCUUUCCUAAAUAGUGAAAGGAUCAUGCCAGCCCACAUCAAACACCUGAUCAAGAGCUUGUGAACCUCACUGCUGCAGACACCUGUGUGAUAUUCCACUCUGACUGGAACCCUCAAAAUGACCUGCAGGCUCAAGCUCGGUUCGUCAUCGUUUUGGCCAGUCUAAGGCAGUGGAGGUGUACCGUCUGAUCACUAGAAACUAUGAGAGGGAAAUGCUGGAUAAAGCUAGUCUGAAGCUCGGGCUGGACCGUCCCGUCCUGCAGAGCAUGAGUGGCAACAACAACGGGCCGGUCCAGCAGUUCUCCAAGAAGGAGAUCGAGGAAAGGAGCCUACGCCGCCAUCAUGGACGAGAACGACGAAGGCAAUCGCUUCUGCUAGGAGGACAUCGACCAGAUCCUGCAGCGAAGAGCCACCAUCAUCACCAUCACCAGUUUGCUUCAAGCAGUGGCUGCACGAGAAAGACGUGGAGGACCAAGAAAUGCUGGCCAGAUUGGCAAAGACCGGAAGAUACAUAACAGAGAAGAUAAUGGAUAUUAA